rnacentral:rRNA from 1 species
AGCAGCCGCGGUAAUUCCAGCUCCAAUAGCGUAUAUUAAAGUUGUUGCAGUUAAAAAGCUCGUAGUUGAAUUUCGGGAUCAAUAUAUCGGUCGUGCCUUCGGUACGUACUGGUAUCAUUGGUUUCUCCUUCUGACGAACCAUGAUGUCAUUAAUUUGGUGUUAUGGGGAGUUAGGACUGUUACUUUGAAAAAAUUAGAGUGUUUAAAGCAGGCUUUAGCUUGAGUACAUUAGCAUGGAAUAAUGAAAUAGGACGUUCGAACCUAUUUUGUUGGUUUCUAGGAUCAACGUAAUGAUUAAUAGGGAUAGUUGGGGGCAUUAGUAUUCAAUUGUCAGAGGUGAAAUUCUUGGAUUUAUUGAAGACUAACUACUGCGAAAGCAUUUGCCAAGGAUGUUUUCAUUAAUCAAGAACGAAAGUUAGGGGAUCGAAGACGAUCAGAUACCGUCGUAGUCUUAACCAUAAACUAUGCCGACUAGGGAUCGGAUGAUGUUAAUUUUUUAACGACUCAUUCGGCGCCUUAC